UCCGGAGAGGGAGCCUGAGAAACGGCUACCACAUCCAAGGAAGGCAGCAGGCGCGCAAAUUACCCAAUCCGGUCACCGGGAGGUAGCGACGAGAAAUACCAAUUCGAAUUAUAUUUCGCAAUUGGAAUGGAGUCAAUUUAGGAAUUUGACUGAGAAACUACUGGAGGGCAAGUCUGGUGCCAGCAGCCGCGGUAACUCCAGCUCCAGUAGUGUAUAUCAAAAUUGUUGCGGUUAAAACGCUCGUAGUUGGAUGACAAGAAUCAAUAACGAAGGUUAGACAAUAUCUAACAUUUGAAGUUGAUUUUUUUAUUGCAAAUUCCUGCAUAUGACUUUAUUGACGUAUGUGGGUCAUUUGCAAAGCGUGCCUUGAAUAAAGCAAAGUGCUCAAAACAAGCGUAACGCUAGAAUGUAAUAGCAUGGAACGAACAACCAGAUUUCUGGUUCAGUUGGUUGGUGACACCGGCAGUUGGAUUUUCAAUCUGUUCAAGUUUCCAGUGACCAGAUAGUUGUGGGUUAAUCUCCUCUAUUUGAUCAUUAGGAAACCUCUGUCGUUUGAAUGCCAGUUGUUCGGGCCAGAACCGGGUCAUGAUUAAAAGGGACAUUUGAGGGCGUUAGUAUUUGGUGGUCAGAGGUGAAAUUCAGUGACCCGCCAGGGACUCGCUAAUGCGAAGGCGUUCGUCAAGAAUGUUUUCAUUAAUCAAGAACGAAAGUUGGAGGUUCGAAGACGAUCAGAUACCGUCGUAGUUCCAUACAGUAAACUAUGCCAUCACGGGAUCAGCUCGUGAAAUAAAUACUAGUUGGUCUCCCAGGGAAACCUUAAGAUUUCUGGUUCCGGGGAGAGUACGGUCGCAAGCCUGAAACUUAAAGGAAUUGACGGAAGGACACCACCAGGAGUGGAGCCUGCGGCUUAAUUUGACUCAACACGGGGCAACUCACCAGGUCCGGACAUUGAAAGGAAUGACAGACUGAUAGAUCUUUCAUGAUACAAUGAUUGGUGGUGCAUGGCCGUUCUUAGUUGGUGGAGUGAUCUGUCAGGUCUAUUCCGGUAACGAGCGAGACCACGAUCUCUAAUUUAUCGCUUUGUCCAGUUUCACUUCUCUCUGCUCAUCGCAUUAUCUCUCGCUGUCUAUUUCGUGGAGGAGAAAUCCAAAGCGGAGUAUUCAGUGGUGGUAGUGUGUUUGGUCAAAGAGAAGUGGGGCAGAGAUAAUAGAGAGACUACUGUGCGAUUUUAAAAGCCGGGGGAAGCGUGGCAAUAACAGGUCUGUGAUGCCCUUCGAUGUUCUGGGCUGCACGCGCGCUACAAUGGCAGUGACACAAAGUUACUGCUCCGAGAGGAGUGGUGAAACCAAAAUCGCUGUCGUAAAUGGGACUGAGCCUUGUAAUAAUUGCUCACGAAAGAGGAAUUCCUCGUAAGCGUAAGUCAUCAACUUGCGUUGAAUACGUCUCUGUCCUUUGUACACACCGCCCGUCA
rnacentral:rRNA from 1 species